rnacentral:rRNA from 1 species
UACGUAGGGUGCAAGCGUUAAUCGGAAUUACUGGGCGUAAAGCGUGCGCAGGCGGUUUUGUAAGUCUGUUGUGAAAUCCCCGGGCUCAACCUGGGAAUGGCAAUGGAGACUGCAAGGCUAGAGUUUGGCAGAGGGGGGUAGAAUUCCACGUGUAGCAGUGAAAUGCGUAGAUAUGUGGAGGAACACCGAUGGCGAAGGCAGCCCCCUGGGUCAAAACUGACGCUCAUGCACGAAAGCGUGGGGAGCAAACAGGAUUAGACUACC